GAAAGCCCACAGGACAGCUCCCGGCUGCACUGCAAGCCUCUGUCCCACCAUCCCCAGCUCACAGCAAAGCUGACACCUGAAGCAGAAGCUGCUCCCCAAAAGCAGCACCCCAAAAGAUGCUGGGGCAGGCGCCAUGGGCAAGGCUGUCUCCUUCUGGCCCUGCCGUCCUGCUGCUGGCCCUCUGCAAUGUGGUGAGUUCCCCAGCAAGUCCACCACCCCCAGGUGAGUGAUUCCCUCCUGCACCUCCUGUACCCCCAGGCAGCAGCCCCUCACACAAGGCCCAUCUCCCUUCCAGAGGUG
rnacentral:lncRNA from 1 species